UACGGGGGGGGCAAGCGUUGUUCGGAAUUACUGGGCGUAAAGGGCUCGUAGGUGGCCAACUAAGUCAGACGUGAAAUCCCUCGGCUUAACCGGGGAACUGCGUCUGAUACUGGAUGGCUUGAGUUUGGGAGAGGGACGCGGAAUUCCAGGUGUAGCGGUGGAAUGCGUAGAUAUCUGGAGGAACACCGGUGGCGAAGGCGGCGUCCUGGACCAACACUGACACUGAGGAGCGAAAGCCAGGGGAGCAAACGGG
rnacentral:rRNA from 1 species